rnacentral:rRNA from 1 species
GCCUACGGGGCGCAGCAGUUAGGAAUAUUCGUCAAUGGGGGAAACCCUGAACGAGCAAUGCCGCGUGAAGGAUGACGGUCCUAUGGAUUGUAAACUUCUGUUGUUAGGGAAGAACGACCUAAGUAGGAAAUGACUUGGGAGUGACGGUACCUUUCAAGAAAGCUCCGGCUAACUACGUGCCAGCAGCCGCGGUAAUACGUAGGGAGCGAGCGUUAUCCGGAUUUAUUGGGUUUAAAGGGUGCGUAGGCGGGCUUUUAAGUCAGCGGUAAAAAUUCGGGGCUCAACCCCGUCCGGCCGUUGAAACU